rnacentral:rRNA from 1 species
UACGUAGGGGGCUAGCGUUGUCCGGAAUCAUUGGGCGUAAAGAGCGUGUAGGCGGCCCGGUAAGUCCGCUGUGAAAGUCGGGGGCUCAACCCUCGAAUGCCGGUGGAUACUGUCGGGCUAGAGUGCGGAAGAGGCGAGUGGAAUUCCUGGUGUAGCGGUGAAAUGCGCAGAUAUCAGGAGGAACACCAAUUGCGAAGGCAGCUCGCUGGGACGUAACUGAAGCUGAGACGCGAAAGCGUGGGGAGCAAACAGG